UCCGGUGAAAAAUGAACCUAGGGGUAAUUAACACAUGGUGACCGAGUAGAUCGUUCUCUGGGAUGCGUUUUCAUGAUAAUCGAAUGUAAAGAGUUUUUAUCAAUAAAAACAGAUUAGCGUAUAGCGCUAGUAUAUGGGGCAAAGAGUAAGUACAAGUAAAUCGCUAGUUAAUACCACUAACAAGGCUCAAAAUAGCCUCACACUACCACAGUAGCAUAAUGAGGGUCCUUACAUGCAAACCGAAGCAUUGAGAACUUUGUAAGUGUACAAACAGUUUAAUAAGAAGCUACUUUAUAAAGACAGCACAUUACGCGUAUUCAGACAGCAGACAUCUUGAAAAACAGACUCGACAAGUCGAGCCAUGAACGAUGUGCUAAGUGAUAUGAACUAAGUGAUAUUAACUGAUUUGGAGCUGACAUAUGGUCCGUUGUUUCUGGAAGAAAGCACUGAAUGCAACAGAGAAAAUAAAUAAAUAAAAAUAAUAAUAAAAAACCUGAACAAGUCACAGUUUAUAUCACUUAGCACGCGUUCGUAAAUCUAAACUUAAGACAUUCUUCUUUAACAAAGCAUUCACAUAAAAUGUCCAGUAAUUGUACUUGUCCCGCAAUAGUUAUUUUGUCAAGAACAAAGCACUCACAUACCUCACAUGGGUAAUAUACUAUUGCUGCAAUAGGUAGCCUGUCUGGAACCAAGCGUUUUUAAACCACAAUACUGCAUGACACUUGCAUUACAUGCGAACGGCCCCUACGCUAAUAGAACUCUGUUUUUGUCUCCCUGUCUUGUCCUCGACCCUGAGGACAAUGAGACAAACAGACCCAGUUCCUGUUGCUGUGAAGGUCAUCACACCACUGAUCUACUGGCUGUCCUUCAACGUGAUGACCAGCCGAUGCCCGACCAACGACCACCAACUAAACCAGUUUAAUCCGCUUCCCGCCUCCUAUCCCUACCGUAUCUAUGUAUAUAUAAAUAUAUAUUAAUUCCUCCCAAGGGUUUUUGUCCUUCUAGGAGUUUUUCCCAUUGGGUUUUUUCCUAGGGGUUUUUUUCGUCCCAGGGAGAGUCAGCCAACUUUGGCUUAACUUAGCACUUUACUGUAUACGUUAUGUAACCUCUUUAAAUUGAACACUACUUUCAUGUGUAAUUUAAUUUGUGAAACAUUUUUGAUUUGUACAUUUUCAAAGAGAUUCAUGUAAUUGGUGCAGUACCAUUCCCGCCCACUAGAGGGCAGUUGACUUAAGUGUAUUGAGUGAACUGGCUGCUUUUAGUUCAGAUGAAGAAGCCAGCUGGACAUGCAUCCAUGAGGUUGGAAAUGCAUCCCAGAUCUGAUGAAAGAUUUGAUUUUUUCGGUUGAUUUACCGUGUUUCUUUAUGAGAACUCUGGUGAGUUUGUUGUUUAUUAACUAUUUUAGUUAAUCUAAUAUCAAUCCUUCUCUAUAUGUGUUUUAAAACCCAAUUAGAGUUACCUAUGAAGUUUGAGAAGCAUUUUUUAUGUAUAUUAAGAGAGUUAAAUUUGUGAACGAAUCUAAUAA